UACGUAGGGUGCAAGCGUUGUCCGGAUUUAUUGGGCGUAAAGAGCUCGUAGGCGGUCUGUCGCGUCGGAUGUGAAAACCCAGGGCUCAACCCUGGGCCUGCAUUCGAUACGGGCAGGCUAGAGUUCGGUAGGGGAGACUGGAAUUCCUGGUGUAGCGGUGAAAUGCGCAGAUAUCAGGAGGAACACCGGUGGCGAAGGCGGGUCUCUGGGCCGAUACUGACGCUGAUGCACGAAAGCUGGGGGAGCAAACAGG
rnacentral:rRNA from 1 species